CUUACUCMUACGGGAGGCAGCAGURGRGAAUUUSGACAAUGGGGGCAMCCYKAUCCCRSCAUGCCGCGWGAGWGAAGAAGGCMUUCGGGUUGUAAAGCUCUUUCGGACGGAACGAAAUGGUUACGGUGAAUAWCCGUGACUGAUGACGGUACUGUAAGAAGAAGCACCGGCUAACUACGUKCCAGCAGCCGCGGUAAUACGUAGGGURCGAGCGUUAAUCGGAAUUACUGGGCGUAAAGCGUGCGCAGGCGGUUCGCCAAGUCAGGUGUGAAAUCCCCGGGCUUAACCUGGGAAUUGCGCUUGAAACUAGCGGGCUUGAGUGCGGCAGAGGGGGGUGGAAUUCCACGUGUAGCAGUGAAAUGCGUAGAGAUGUGGAGGAACACCGAUGGCGAAGGCAGCCCCCUGGGUCGACACUGACGCUCAUGCACGAAAGCGUGGGGAGCAAACAGGAUUAGAUACCCUGGUAGUCCACGCCCUAAACUAUGUCAACUGGUUGUCGGGGAAGCAAUUCCUUGGUAACGAAGCUAACGCGUGAAGUUGACCGCCUGGGGAGUACGGCCGCAAGGUUAAAACUCAAAGGAAUUGACGG
rnacentral:rRNA from 1 species